UCAUUUUUCUUAGCCAUUUUAAAGUGACCAUAAUAAACAAAAUUCUAACGCACAUUACCCCAUAAAAUUAGAGCACAUAUCUAAACAGAAAGCAUGCAUAUCCAAACACUUUGACAAAGAUACGAUCAUCGAAACCAAAUGUGCGGCUGAUUGGGUGUUUGUGGAGAUUGAAAAUAGAUGACGUGACAUAUGAGCCUAGCCCA
rnacentral:lncRNA from 1 species